AUACAACAGCCUUGUCUUGUUUUCGAGCGACAUUGAUUGCUCUUUGUAAGAGAUGUAGAAUCUUUUAAUAUUUUGGACCCAGUUGUUUAAAAGAUAAUUAGCUUAAACAUUAAGUUACCGAAAAUCUCAUACCUCCUUUACUUCGAAACCUUCGUUUGUGUUUUCCUUAUUAAAGGUGUGUGGGAAGAGACAUGCGAGUGCUAUAGUUUCAUAAAAGUUAGCAUUACCAGAGAUAUUUUUGGGGGGAUUUUGGAAUUGUUGUUAAAGCAACACGACACUUAGGCUAACAUUGAAUGUGUUUGAUGGGUAGUUACGAACUUCGUUUUAUUGCUCAUUGUUAAUAUAUUUAAAGAAGUCAGGUUGUUCAAUAACGAAAUCUCCGAUGUCUUGCUUUUUUCUGUUAUUUGUUAUUCUCUUCCUGAAAGGUACACGGCAACUUACUGACCUGGUGAGAAUACUGCUGACAAACUCAAACUUUAUUGGCGGGUUGGUGGCGUGCCUACUGGACAACACCUUACCGGGUACUCGCGAGGACCGAGGAUUGCUGACCUGGGCGAAAGAUGGAGAUGAAGAAAGUAACGAAUCGUCCGACUUCGAGGAAAGCGUGGAUGUAUAUAGCAUACCAAUCAUAACAAACCUACUCCAGAAGUGUAGACUAUCUUCGUACAUCCCAAUCUCCCCUACAUUUCGACAAAAAUACUAAAUGCAAUAAUGGAUAUCGCCAUUAACAUAAUUUGGUGAUACGUUUGAUGGACCAAUCACAAUGCUAUAUAAACUUAUACGGAUGUUUGAUAUCUUAAGUUGAUGAAAUAAUCAAGUAUAAAUUAAGCAAUGAACAAGUGGAACUGCAUUGCUUAUUGCUAGCCGUAUGUCCUCUAUAUCGAAAUCUAUUUUGAUUUGUAUAUAUGUGCUGCUAAGGAACUUGUCCUAAUUGUCAUUUCGGAAUAGUGACAACCAUGCCCUAAAUGUCAGUUCGGAACAUCUUUUGUUUAUCGUGCUGUUUGACCAACACUGUACAACCUUCAUUAAGCAACACUCGAGUACACAUUUAUCAGUUUUAUUUUUGCUUUGGAACAGUUCGUUCAUAAUGGUCAUAUUUAACAUCCUUUGCACAUUGUAACAGUGUAGACAUUUAUUGAUAAAUACAUUAAUUUCUUUGGGAUUUUUAUAUUUGAAUUAAUAUUUGUUCAUGUUUCAGACAUAUUGUUGAAUUAUUUUUUCAAAAUAAACUGAUAUUGAUAAAACUUU